rnacentral:piRNA from 1 species
UGUCUAAUGGCAAGAGUACACUGAGU